UAAUACUUAUUGUUUAAAAACAAUCGCCCACAAAGUUACAUACGUGGUUACUUCGGGCACGAGGUGUAUGAAACAGAGCACUCGUGUUCAUGGGCGCCGAUCCUGGGUAUGCGGCGCAUACCUCAGAAUAUUUAUAGCGUAUGCGGCAUACCCAUUUUCUAACGCUAAGGCCGUCUAGCGCUCUCAUUCUAAUUACUAAAGCAGGUGCGCAAUACGUUGGAUUUACGCGCGUAAGAAGUAUUUAUUGCAAACGUAUUGAUACUUUACUUGAUCGCAUGCGUGAAAAGGCAAAUAUCCAACCUGUUUUCAAGCUCCUGCAGGCAAAAUAUUCAAGGGGACAAUUGGUAUUAUGACGCAAAUUAUCAACGCGUGAAUUGCUAUUGUGUCGUAAUCAAUUACCAGGCCAGACAAUCGCUAUUGUAAUGCAAUGAAUCCACGUGUAGAUCC